rnacentral:tRNA from 1 species
UCCCAGGUGGCCUAGCGAUUAAGGAUACGACAUUUUCACUGCUGUGGGACAGGUUCUAUCCCUGACCUGGGAA